GGCACCUCAGCCUAAGCACUGAGCAGUGCAGAGGCAAGGGGUGAGGUCCCAAAGCCUUAACUAUCCCACUUCAGCCGAGAUCCCAGGUAUUUCACAGAACCUGAAGCACAGCAGUAGCUCAGAUAACUCCAAACUAAGUCGUCAAUCAGGCUUUAUAAGUGCUUGCUGCAUCUUUAGCUGGAUACAUCCUCCUUCUGCAUCCUGCCUCCAACUGCAGUGUGUUUUGACUGCACAGUUAUUCUCCAUUAGAAUUUUAUGCACAUUUUUGCAUGGCUAAUGAAACUCUGAAAAACUUUUGCUACAAAAUUUAUGUUACUCAUUUCCUUGCGCAGUGUCGUUUUUAUGUGACAGGAAAACACAUUACUCAGUCUUUGAUGUCAAGGACAGUUAAACUCAAACCCAGAGAACCAAACCAAUCCCAGAAGCAUGAGAGUUAUAUGUAUUCAUCACUAGUGAUAUGCCUAUUUUUUUCUGAAGAUUUAUUAGUAGUAGCAGCUCCAUCUCUAUCUUCCACUUGAAUGAUAAUAGUACAAAAGUAAUUUGUUAUGCAUGAAUGAGAGAUCUGGAAAUCUCAAGACACUUCUCCAAAGGCUGAGAAACUUCUUCAAACACAACUAAUUUCUCUAGGAAUACAGAAUUUUGUAAGAAUGGAUCCAUUCCAUCACAUGUGGACUUUCUCUCAGGUUUUCUACAGCAGCCUGCAAUCGAACCUACAAGGAAGUGGGAACUGUAACGAAUUUGAAAAGCCAUAAGCUCCCUGCACUGAAAUGACAGUUUUGUCUGAGUGCCUCACUCGUUUCAGCUCACUCACCUGUGAAUUGCAGCACUGCAGACACUGGAAAAAGAAGCAUAAAUGUCUGUGCCAUAAACACGGUAUUUUACAUCUUGACAUCCAGGAGGGCAUUUUGCAAUGAAUUCUGGAUUGAUUAUCUUCCCCGCCUUGACAUCACAAUCAAUCUGGGGUACAUCUGUGAGUGCAAAAUCUUGGUAAAGUCAGACUGAAUGCUUCCAUGGCUGAGUGAUCUUGUCAUGAAACAGUGAGUAACUGAGUGACAGGGAUGCCCUCCUCCUAAGCCUUCAUAUCAAUCAUUUUGGGAUACAAGACAUCUGUGUCGUCUGCAUCUACAACAUAACACACAAUAACCCCCCCGCCAAGGGAUGUGGCAGUCACGAAGGAUGGAGUAAGGGAGCCUGUGGAUAUUUCUGACCUUCAGUGUUCGCUUCUCUGAAGGAAAUAUCUGUUAUGACACUUUGCUGGAGAGAGAAAGAAGUGUAAUCCCCCAGCCUGUGGUUAACACGUGGGAAGGAGGGGGUGGGGACGCUUCCCAAGCCUCCCGCUGUGCUCAUGCAGCUCUGUGCCAUCUAUAAUGUCAGGCUGAAGUCACAGCCCAUUAUCUUGCUCUUAAUUUUUAAAACUUUUUGCUGGGUACAAUUUGCUUUGAACAAGGGAUUUAAGUGUGUGUUUACAACCUCGCAGCAGGCUUGUUUGUCAGCUACAUGAGCAAAAUAAUGUGUGGACAGGAAUGCUCCUGCAGCAGAAUAGCUGAAAGUUAAACAUCUCAGUGCACAGAGAUGCACCACUUGUCUCACACUAAUCAGCUACAUAUGCUUUGUGUUACAGCUGGUCCAUUUCAUGUAUUUCUCUCUCUCUCUCUCUUUCUGUGAAAACCAUACUGCUUGCAUUGAUCUUGUGUGCUACCUAAUGACCUAUGAAGAUACAUUUUAGUAGUGAAUUACAAUUUUUCCCUUUAUAAAUGUUAAGUGAUGCACACUUUCCUUAGUGAUUCGUUUUCAGUAAAAGAAUCUUUUAACUAACAUACAAUGCCAUUGACUCCAGACAGUUGUGAAGAGUUCCAGAAUAUAAUCUCACUUUGCACCUUUCUUAUGCUUUGGACAUGUCUGCUGUAAAACAGCCAGAAAUUCUACUGAGACCACUUACAUAGCUUAGCCUUUUUUGUCUUCUUUGUGGCUUCCUUGGCUGCGUAGGUACAUGUAAGAAACACACCUAGAACAAAUAAACAUAGUAUCAGGAAAAAAGGUGGACUAUCAACAUCAGUAACCACAAGCUCCUCUACAUGACAUUUCUCAGAUUUGAAUCAACAGGUUGAAAACCUGAAAUAAGAAUAUUCUCAGCCACAUCUAGGUUUCUACUUGGUGGUUAAGUUUGCAGUCAAGAUGGCAUCUACUGUGGGGAAGUUCUUUGAAGGGGAUUAAAGAUCAGUUCAGUUCACAUGUUCAUCCAUGGAACUCACUAUCUAAAAAUGCCUUGGAGUAAAUGUGGUCCAGAAAACCACACAAGUAUUUCCACAACCAGUGGGAGCUCUUUGUUACUAGCAAGAUAGAGAUGUUAAUGAAUAAUGUGCUCUGUGCAUAAAGCAACUGAGAAGUCUGGUACAAAAGAUUCUUCUUAAUAACCCUUUGGGAAGAUUAUCCUGUAAUUUUGUGUUGUGACAUUUCACUCACUGGUGGCAGCAGGUGUGGGAUACUGGGCAGCAUUACAGACCAUAUGAAGGUCUAGGAUGGGAUGUCCCAGCAAGGGUUUUGUUCAGUAAGUAGGAUUAUGAUUUGAAAAGUGUAAUAGUAAAAGAGACAUAUGCAGUUGCGUUAAAAGAUACAUCCCAAUAUAUGCAUGCAGCUUACCAUGUUGUAUUUACUUGCUGAGUGAUGACAUACAAAAUCACUUUAUUCUCUGUGCUUAUUUUAUAGGCACUGUAUUAUGGGUAACUGAUAACUUCAUUACAAUAUCUUGACUUUCCUAUUCACCUUUUCCUUCUCUGAGUUUUCAAAGGGAAUUGAAACUCUCUAUGAUGUAUCUGCUGAUCCUUUUAUCAUUUAUUAAGCUAAUCUUACUAGAAUAUGCAACAGAAGCAAUUUCUUUUUUUUAUGCUCUUCUCCCCCUAGACUGAUUGCAAAGGGUUUGUAGACUUAAUCACACCUAGAACUUGCCCCCUCAAAAAAGCAGUGUCAGAGUCUGAAGUGACAAUGCAUAGAUGCAGUAUUUGGGUCUUUUGUCACUGGUGUAACCAUGGCAAAAUUGUAGUUAGAUAAAAAAAAAGGAAUGCAUGAGUGGAAAAUAAAGUGCGAUAUCUCAACUACUUGGAAUGUUACAGCAUAGUCUAAUGUGGGAAAAGUAAUCUGGUAAUUUAUGUAGAAGAACUACAUAGAUUGCUGUGAAUUUGAACUAAGAACAACUGUCCUGACAGACUUGAGGAUAACAGCUAGAGGGAAUAUUGCCUGGGAAUGUCACAACCAGAGUGUUCAUGUAAGAUGAAUUGCAAGUUCUGAAGUUUCUACAUGUUCCCAAAAAGUGAGAUCCUGUCUGACUGCCAGGGGAAAGAAAAUAAGACAUAUUUAUAACCUUUUGGUACCACCUUGUUCAUAGAAAGAACAAGAACAGGGAGAAUUGAAACAGCUGAUUUUUCUUUAGAGGGAGUCUUUACAUUAUUGAUAUUUUUCAGGCCCUCCUGACAUGGGCUGCAUGUACCUGGUCAUAUACUUGGAGAUCUCUGCAAGUAAUUAAUAUUUUUUUCUAUGCCAAAGAAGUUUUGUAGCUCGUUUCUGAAAAGCUGUGCCAAGGCUUACACCUGACACUGAGAGCUUCAUCAGCCAUGCAGUCCAAAGGGAAGAGAAUUAGUCAGUAGCCACUGGGCAACCACGAUGGGAGAGUACAAACCCAUAAGGUACUAACUGCAGCACAUCAAGUGUACUUACCAAAGAAGGUUGCAAUGACUGUGGCCUUCAUGGUGAGUAAAGAGAAAUCUGGAUGUGUUGCUAAGGAGCACUGAAAAGGAAAAGAAGAUUACAUCAGGCUGCAUUUGGAGGUAUUGCAGAUGACACUGGAGCGGUGGGGGAAGAGGGACUAUGUGCUCUUCUUCAGCCUUCCACAGUCCUCACAUGCUGCAUCCUCUUAAUACGUUUUUUAGAACAACUGAUAUCCCCAGAGGAGGUGGUGUUUGGGCUAUUGCAUUCCCAUGGACUAAUUUUUUACUUCUCUCCAAAAUUUGUCUUUUGCUCCAGGAAAUCAAGAUUUCAUUCACAUACUUAUUUCAGAAGCCAGUGUCAGGAGAGGCCAUGAUGGGCAUGGAUAAGCUCUGACAUAUAUUCAAGUCUGUUCACUGCUCUUCUAAGAAAUAUUCACAGAAUCGUAUUUUUUGCACAUCAAAGCACACCAGAUUUCACCAAAAAGAAUAGAAGAUGUAGACCACGGAAGACUGACUUCCUGUCCCAAAUUACCACAUAUUUUGCCAUGCAGUUUAGUGGAAAGGCUUUCUCCAAAACAGGGUGCAAGCCUCAGUCACUGAAAAAUGAGCCCAAAGCAGACAGGCAGCCCAAGGCAACCCAGCCAUGUCCUGCUGCAGAGGAGACCAGAGAAGAUGGCAAGAGAGACGAGGGUGAGAUGGCUGCAGAAAGAGGGAAUGGGCUCUGCUCUCUGCUGGCAGGGCACCGGCAGAGGAUGUGGUGGCAGCCCUCAGACACCGCUAAAUGUAGAGCUGCCCCAGAACAGAUUUAGGCACAGAAUGUUUGCAGAGCCCAGAGUGAAUUCUUGGGUAGCUAACCCAUGCUGCCAGGACUGCCCAAAGCUGGCACCUCCCGGUGUUUGCGAGGGGCAGCUACACAAGCUGCAGUCACAGCCGGCCAGCACAGCUGCCCCACAGGUGCCUUUGGAGCCCACAGCAUUUCAGUAGAUCCUGACUUGUCUAUGGGCCGCAGUGCUGGAAGAAAAGUUCUCCGGUAAUGCAUGCUCCCGUUUUAUCUGGACAAGUCCCUUCACAUCCCUGUCUUUGCAUCAUCUUGCUUUCCACAGGGCAUUGUCACGGGUCAGCUCAAAGCAGUUUUACCCCUGCCCUGCACUGACAGCGGUGCCUGCAGCCCCUUUGGGCGGGGGGCUUGCAGAGUUCACAGGGGCAAUGCAGGCUCUGGCAAGACAGACAGUCAGAGUUUAAUUUACUAACAGAGAUAUAGUCUGAAAAGCCACAGAUUUUUCUGGGCAUUUCUGUGCCUUUCUGAGCCUCUUGUGUGGCAGCGGGAAGCUGUGCUGCCUGUGCAGCAUUUACCCAGGUUUUCCAAGAGGGGAAUGUGCAGCAAAUAAAAGAAUUGGGAUGCAAAAGAGUGGCAGCUGCUUUAGGACUGUUAGAGAGGCUCUUUUACAGACGAAUGAACCGUCAAUUUGUAGUAAGACAUUGUUUUCUAAACAUAGCGUGAAAACUGUUAUCUUGCCUGGCUGGUCAUUAGAAGAGAGAUAAUUAUAGUCUCUGUGCCACAGCCGGGCCCAGAACAGGGGCUGCAUUGUCCCAGGUCCCAGCUGAGCUCCAGCACAGGCUCCCCAGGCAGCGCUGGGACAAGGGGGCUCCUUGUGCCCCGGCAAGUUCAGAAGAGGAAUUGAAGUGCUCUAAGUAGGUGUUAAGCACCUAUUUCUCUCUCCGACUCUGGACUUAAAAAUCUACUCCACAAGAGAAAGAUGUGGAGGGCAGACCUGUGACUACUGUAGCUGCAUCCUCCCUGGCUUUUUGUUCGAUAAAUGCUAUGAUUAUUAUUUUUCUUCUAUUAAAAAAAAUAAAAUAA